AGUGAACGCUGGCGGUAGGCCUAACACAUGCAAGUCGAACGGCAGCACAGUAAGAGCUUGCUCUUACGGGUGGCGAGUGGCGGACGGGUGAGGAAUACAUCGGAAUCUACUUUUUCGUGGGGGAUAACGUAGGGAAACUUACGCUAAUACCGCAUACGACCUACGGGUGAAAGCAGGGGAUCUUCGGACCUUGCGCGAUUGAAUGAGCCGAUGUCGGAUUAGCUAGUUGGCGGGGUAAAGGCCCACCAAGGCGACGAUCCGUAGCUGGUCUGAGAGGAUGAUCAGCGACACUGGAACUGAGACACGGUCCAGACUCCUACGGGAGGCAGCAGAGGGGAAUAUUGGGCAAUGGGCGCAAGCAUGAUACAGCGAUACCGCGUGGGUGAAGGAGGCGUUCGGGUUGUAAAGACCUUUUGUUGGGAAAGAAAAGCAGCAGGUUAAUACCCAGCUGUUCUGACGGUACCCAAAGAAUAAGCACCGGCUAACUUCGUG
rnacentral:rRNA from 1 species